rnacentral:rRNA from 1 species
GACGAACGCUGGCGGCGUGCUUAACACAUGCAAGUCGAACGGAAAGGCCCUGCUUUUGUGGGGUGCUCGAGUGGCGAACGGGUGAGUAACACGUGAGUAACCUGCCCUUGACUUUGGGAUAACUUCAGGAAACUGGGGCUAAUACCGGAUAGGAGCUCCUGCUGCAUGGUGGGGGUUGGAAAGUUUCGGCGGUUGGGGAUGGACUCGCGGGUUAUCAGCUUGUUGGUGGGGUAGUGGCUUACCAAGGCUUUGACGGGUAGCCGGCCUGAGAGGGUGACCGGCAACAUUGGGACUGAGAUACGGCCCAGACUCCUACGGGAGGCAGCAGUGGGGAAUAUUGCACAAUGGGCGGAAGCCUGAUGCAGCAACGCCGCGUGCGGGAUAACGGCCUUCGGGUUGUAAACCGCUUUCGCCUGUGACGAAGCGUGAGUGACGGUAAUGGGUAAAGAAGCACCGGCUAACUACGUG